AGCUCCAAGAGCGUAUAUUAAAGUUGUUGCAGUUAAAAAGCUCGUAGUUGGAUUUCUGGUACAACGCGCCUGGCCCGCAAUUCUUGUGAGUGCCGGUGCGCGUUUGCCAUCCUUCUAGAAAACGUUUCUACCCGGGUAACUGGGCCGGACUCGCGAUCUAGAUCUUUUACUUUGAAAAAAUUAGAGUGUUUAAAGCAGGCUUUUGCUGUGAAUACAUUAGCAUGGAAUAAUAAUCUAGGACUUCGGUUCUAUUUUGUUGGUUUCUAGUACUGAAGUAAUGAUUGAUAGGGAUAGUUGGGGGUGCUAGUAUUGGCCGGCCAGAGGUGAAAUUCUUGGAUUCGGUCAAGACUAACUUAUGCGAAAGCAUUCACCAAGGAUGUCUUCUUUA
rnacentral:rRNA from 2 species